rnacentral:rRNA from 1 species
GACGAACGCUGGCGGCGUGCCUAAUACAUGCAAGUCGAGCGAAGUGGAGAGAGCUUGCUCUCAAAACUUAGCGGCGAACGGGUGAGUAACACGUGGGCAACCUGCCUGACAGACUGGGAUAACUUGGGGAAACUCAAGCUAAUACCGGAUAGGAUCGCGAACCGCAUGGAUUGCGAUGGAAAGUCUGAACGACACUGUCAGAUGGGCCCGCGGCGCAUUAGCUAGUUGGUGGGGUAAUGGCCUACCAAGGCGACGAUGCGUAGCCGACCUGAGAGGGUGACCGGCCACACGGGGACUGAGACACGGCCCAGACUCCUACGGGAGGCAGCAGUAGGGAAUCUUCCACAAUGGGCGAAAGCCUGAUGGAGCAACGCCGCGUGAGUGAUGAAGGUUUUCGGAUCGUAAAACUCUGUUGUUAGGGAAGAACACCCGGGAGAGGAUCCCGGUUUGACGGUACCUAACGAGGAAGCCCCGGCUAACUACGUGCCAGCCGCCGCCGUAAGAC